GACGAACCGUACGAACGUUAUUCGGAAUCACUGGGCUUAAAGGGUGCGUAGGCGGCGCAGUAAGUUGGGUGUGAAAUCCCUCGGCUUAACCGAGGAAUUGCGCCCAAAACUACUGUGCUCGAGGGAGGUAGAGGUGAGCGGAACUUAGGGUGGAGCGGUGAAAUGCGUUGAUAUCCUAAGGAACACCGGUGGCGAAAGCGGCUCACUGGACCUCUUCUGACGCUGAGCCACGAAAGCUAGGGUAGCAAACGGG
rnacentral:rRNA from 1 species